UACAGAGGUCUCAAGCGUUGUUCGGAAUUAUUGGGCGUAAAGGGCGCGUAGGCGGCGCGACAAGUCACCUGUGAAACCUCUGGGCUUAACCCAGAGCCUGCAGGCGAAACUGUCGUGCUGGAGUAUGGGAGAGGUGCGUGGAAUUCCCGGUGUAGCGGUGAAAUGCGUAGAGAUCGGGAAGAACACCCGUGGCUAAGGCGGCUCUCUAGUACGUGACUGACGCUGAGACGCGAAAGCGUGGGGAGCGAACAGG
rnacentral:rRNA from 1 species